rnacentral:misc_RNA from 1 species
AUAGAUUGAAUGUCAUCGACUCCCCCAAAUACUAUUUCUAGUAGCCUAUAUAGCAUUUAUACAUAUGACAGUAAUCGCGAAUGAAUGCCAUCAGCCGAGAUCUGCCUUUACUGUUGAGGUGCAGGUUGAACGCUUGCUGUAUGAAACUGAAAUUUGACGCUGAGUGACAGGUUACCCAACAGGUGGGGUACAAGGCGGUGAUGCUACUGGAUGCCAGAGAUACAAGAGUCCUGACGACUGCAUUAAUCCGAAAACAGUUGCAAACAUGCCCCUGCUGUACAUAUGUGAGCCAUGGUUGUAAAGAAGGUAACAUUCUCAUCCGUACCUUCAUUUAAAUUGGAGCAACAUACAUCAUGCCCACAAUUAGAAGCUAGUAUAAUAGAUAUUGUGGUUCCAAUUAAAAUAUCUGAUCAUGAAACAAGAAAGUGUUCAUUACGUUUGGUAUUUUACCGUGCAGUGGAUUGCUUCCAUUGGCCGAUGAACAACUAGUCCUAAGGAUGUGUGUGAUGCAGCUUACAUUGACCGAUGAAUGACUGGUCCUAGGGAUAUGUGUGAGGCAGCUUACAUUGACCGAUGAAUGACUGGUCCUAGGGAUGUGUGUGAUGCAGCUUACAUUGACCGAUGAAUGACUGGUCCUAGGGAUGUGUGUGAAGCAGCUUACAUUGGCCGAUGAACGACUGGUCCUAGGGAUAUGUGUGAUGCCGCUUACAUUGGCCGAUAAACGACUAGUCCUGGGGAUGUGUGUGAUGCAGCUUACAUUGGCCGAUGAAUGACUGGUCCUAGGGAUGUGUGUGAUGCAGCUUACAUUGGCCGAUGAAUGACUGGUCCUGGGGAUGUGUGUGAUGCAGCUUACAUUGGCCGAUGAAUGACUAGUGCUGGGGAUGAGUGAUUGACUUCCUACGAAUCUUUAAGCCACAUGUUUUAGCAACUGCAUCACAUGAUGUGGGUGACCAUAAUCAAUAUCAUUCUACAUUGAAGCACAAUCCCUUUAGAGGUCUACUGGCAUGUUCUGUAAUAAAUACUUGAUUUAUAAUGAGUCUGUGUCUUAGAUUUUCCAGAAGCAUGGAUAUAUCAUCUAACAAUCAGGAACACCCUCCGUUACUGAAGAGUCGGGGGUCGUAUAUAAGGUAUAUCAUACAAACGACUUUGACCUCUUCACAAAGUCCAGUCCCAGACUCUCAACAGCGCCAUGUCCUAGAGCGGGUGUUUAACUAUAGCCUUCAGCUGCUAGAGAAGAGACUCAGGGUCUCCUGCAACCGAGCAAACGUCCAUAGUUUGAAUGGGGAUCAGUUGAGCAUUCUGGAGAAGGAGUUACUCCGUUCUGAGGACAGAUUGAUGGAGCUCUUCAUGUCUGAAGCUAGUUGUGAAGAUGAACCCGAUUACGAAAACCCUACAGAUGAUGACAGUGAAGCUGGAGCUAAAGCAGAUCAUCACAUCUUCCCCCAUGUACUCUCCCAUCACCAUGAAGAACUAAUGUCAUGCCUUAACACAAGGGGAACUCAUUUGCUGGACAUCAUGGCUCAGAAUGACCUCCUGAGUGAAUCUGAUGAAGAGGAAAUUCGGAAACAUGAGUCCCAUGGAGAAAGGAAUCAACGUGUUCUUGAGGUCCUUUCUACUGUUUCACCAAAGAAAAACAUGCAAUUCGUGAAUGACUUCAUUAAGGACACUAACCCCGACCUUGGAAGGAGAUUGUCCCGAUCUAUGAGGGAACUGGCUCACCAAGAUCAUGAACAUCAAUGUGCAGCAUGCACUGUUGUUACACAAAUUGAUCCAAGUCGCAUUGCAAAGGUCAUGUUUAUAAAUAAGACUAUACCUUACAGCUUUUAUAAUGAUCUCAGGAAUCCGGCUGUCUCCAGUCAAACGAAAUGGAAAUGGAUCAGAGAAAAGGAGUUAGACAUUGCUGCAAUAAACGCUCUACAACCAAAGUUUCAACAUUUUCAUGACAUGUUUGGAGACCACAAACGCCUUAUCUGCAAAUGCGACAGUUUUACCGCUGAUCCCCCCGAAGGCGUGAUGACAAGAAGUUCUGGUGCAAGUACCUUCCGUAACUGGUUGUCCAAGAGCAAGGAAGGAGAGAGGAGUGAAAUCACCCAGAUGAAGCAUGACAUAUAUACAAUUUCCAGGAGUAUGUUUAUCAAUCCAUAUCAUGAAGCAUGGAUACUCAGCACAUAUAUGUACGAAUGCAACACUCAUCUCCAUAAACCUUAAAGAAAUGGUUCCCGUUUUUCUUUUGGCGCUCAUAUGGACUCGGUGUCCCGAGUAAUUGAAACACUUGCUAUAAACCGGCGUCCAUGUUUCAGAUUUGUACGUGGACACAACACAAGUUUAACACCACAAGUGUAGAGGAUAUAAGAAACCAAGUUUUCCUGUCCGAACCAGAUGGCCAUGAGCAGUACACAGGUGUUCCCCGCUUUGCGUCCUCGAUUGACGUCCAUCAUGACACAGAUAUGUACGGAAAGAGGGACCGGCGCGUCUGGAGACCAGCCUUUCCC